AUCCUUCCUCCUUGGGAAGCUGUUGUGCCAGUCUGGACCAAGUUGCUCCCAUCUGUGGUGGGUACAUCCUGCCGUGGCCCCAUAGUUCCUGCCCUGAGCCCCCGGAGUUUUGCAUUACCUCCUGCUCGUGAAUGGGGGUGGGACCUGUGGCCUGCUUCUAAUCAACAGAAGAUGGCAAAGGUGAAGAGAUUUUGUAGGUGCGGUUAAGGUCCCUAAUCAAUCGACUUUGCAUUAAUCAAAAGGAAGACAAUGCUGGUGGGUCUGACCUAAUCAGGGGAGUCCUUUCUAUAAGGCUCUGGGCCUUCCUGAAGUCAGAGACUCCAAGUAGCAGAGACUUAUGGCUUGGAAGAAGCCAGUGCCCAUGACUCCUGCAGCCUCACCCACUCCUCACAGAGGAGAAAUGAAUUCUGCCACAAACCUGAGGAAGCCUGGAAGGGGAUCCUUCUCGAGUUGGGCCUCCAAAUGGGAAUGCAACCUGACCUUCCCCUUGAUCGAGCCUGUGAGGCCCUUCGCUGAGAACGAGAUCUAUCUAUAGACCACAAGGAUGGACCUCGAUGGCAUUCUGCUGAAAUAAGUCAGAGAAGGACAAAUACCGGAUGCUCUCACCUGUAUGUGGAAUCUGCAAACGGAACUCAGAACCAGCGUGCAGGAUGGUCCCCGGGGCUCCGGGGAGUUGGGAACAUACGCUGUUCGGACACAGACUUGGAGCCAGAAAAGAAUAGGUCCUGGAGAUCUGAGACAGCACAGCGGGGCAGUGCAGCGAUGGCGCACCGCGUGCUUGAGUGGCCAGACCAGACCUCAGGCGAGCCCGCGAUAGAAAUGAUGGUGACGUGAGGUGGUAAGGAGCUGGCGAGGCUCCAGGCUCGUCACCCGGCAGCGUCACAGAAGGUAUCAAUCAGCACGUACAUCUGAAUGUACACAGUGUUAUAUGUAAAUUCCGUCUAAAAACCAAAACCAAGUCUGGUCCUUCGAGGUCAGCGAGCUGGAGAAGCCACAUGGGGGCGCUGUGGUCCAGCGUUCCAGCAGAGCCCAGCCUGGCCGCCAGGGUCCGGGGCACGACCCUCCAGACCAGCCGGCGCCAGCUGAGGUUCACUGAGUGGCCUCAGCUGACGCCACGUGGAACAGAAGAAGUACCCAGUUGGGCUCUGCCUGAAUUUCUAACUGUGGAAUCUGUGAAAUAUAAUAAAAUUAUUUUUGUCUGUGCUGCUAAGUUUGGGUUAGUUAUGCAGCAGUAGUCUUCAGAACACGGCCUCUUUAAAGUAGGGCCAAGCUGGUGGUGUAAGUCCUAGAAGGCGGGGGACGCUGGGGACAGCAGAAACCUGCUCCGUGUCAAGGUGACAGCCACUGUGGGGAGGCACAGCAUAAGGGGCUGUGAAUCUCAAGCAGGCACUCCGGGUUCAAGUCCUGGCCCAGUCAGCUGGGCCACAAUGGGUGUGGUUUUCUCAACCACAUGGCCUCAGCUUUCCCAUCUGUAAAAUGGGGUUACUGAGAACUGCAAAUUUGACAAUAAGGUAGAGACGUCACAAAUCAAUGGCCAAGGGUUCAAAUCCAGCCUGCAAGCGUGUCUUUCUGAGACUCUCCUUGUUUGAUGAUUUGGAUCCAGUUUAGACACUGGGAGACUUUGUGGCUUUUCUUGCAAUCACGUGGUCGUAACAGCCGCCACAGUCUGGACGGCAUUCCAAGGCUCUGCACGCGGGAUUCCUGUGACCUCUGUCUCACCGUCGUCCUCCGUGGGGCUCUGCCAGUAGUGAUCCAGCGAGCAAGGAGGCCGCCCACGCGGGACCCACGAGAAAAUGUUCCCUCCGGCUCCUGCUGUGGCAAGACCCACCCCUGCCCGGAUUUAGGCACAGCCCUGGGGAGAGGGGGGACCCCACACGUGACUGACAUCGAUGUCGUGUCCCCAGGAGAGAGGGUUCCUGGGGGAAAUUCGUGUUGGUAAUGGAAGAAUCAAGUCGAUUUUGGCCAAGUCGGGCAUGCAUGGCCUGAGGCUGGACGGAAGCCGUCGUUGAGCGUGAGUGCCCAGGUCGAUGGCGACACCUGAACCUGCAGCUCGAUGGAUCCGCCAAGUCCCUGCAGAGAAGAUGCCGGCAGGCUCCCUGCUUUCACAGACGGCAGACUGAGGCGCAGAGGUGACCUGCCCGGGUCAGGCGUCAGCGUGCGGGACGGAAGUGGGAUGAGGGCCCCGGUGGUGCGGCUGCAGCGCUGCCUCAGGCCCCCCGGUGGCCCCCUGCCCGGCGCUAUUCCCGGGAGACCCGGGACUGUGUCCUCUGUGGCGUGGACAGUGGGCCCCCUGCAGGGCGGAAGCCUGGGGUGGCCUGGAGUGUGGGUCUCUGCCUGCAGACUGUCUGUGCUGAGGACCACCUGUGGGGACCAGAGACAGAACAGGCGUCUGCGGGAGGGACUGGACACAUGCCCCCCUCCCACCGGCCUGGGCCUGAGGAGCUGACGUGCGUCACACAGGCUCGGGCUGGCAGGGUCCCUGCAGUUCCAGUAAUGACUGCCCAGGUCCCCUCUGUGCGCUGACGGUGGAGACAGACGCCACUUGUGCGGGCUGUCCCGGUAGGCGGGGCUCGCGGCCCCACUGCGGGGCCUGCUGCAUGGUCCCGCCGUGACAGGGAGGCGUAGGACCCGGGCAGCAGGGUCUGGCUCUGUCCGUCUGGGCCCGCGGCUGGCUGGAGCUAAUAUGAGCCCACGGGGCCAUGGCACUGACGCUGUGCCAGGCACUGUUCCAAGGGCACCGUCCGGAGGACACGCCAGGGACAGAGACACCAUCAUUGUCCCCGUUGUGCAGAUGGAGACGGCGGCACUGGGUUCAGGGCUCUGGCCACAAGGGGGCGCACUUGCGCCGGCUCCAGAUGCUGGCCUUGACCUCCCCGAACCUGUUGGAAGAUCUCCCAGGAGGAUGGAGAGAAUCGCCUUGAGAUAAACCUCAAUGUGUGGGCCCGUUUUGGGGGUAGUUCUCGAAUGUCUAGGUUGAUUAAAAAAACAAAUCAAACCCCACUAAAAAAGAUCAAUUGCCG